rnacentral:rRNA from 1 species
CCUACGGGUGGCAGCAGUGGGGGAUAUUGCACAAUGGGGGAAACCCUGAUGCAGCGACGCCGCGUGGGUGAAGAAGUAUUUCGGUAUGUAAAGCCCUAUCAGCAGGGAAGAAAGAAGACGGUACCUGACUAAGAAGCCCCGGCUAACUACGUGCCAGCAGCCGCGGUAAUACGUAGGGGGCGAGCGUUAUCCGGAUUCACUGGGUGUAAAGGGAGCGUAGACGGCCGUGCAAGCCAGGAGUGAAAGCCCGGGGCCCAACCCCGGGCAUGCUCUUGGAACUGGGCGGCUGGAGUGCGGGAGGGGCAGGCGGAAGUCCUGGUGUAGCGGUGAAAUGCGUAGAUAUCAGGAGGAACACCGGCGGCGAAGGCGGCCUGCUGGACCGCGACUGACGUUGAGGCUCGAAAGCGUGGGGAGCGAACAGGAUUAGAUACCCGUGUAGUC